UGCCAGCCGCCGCGGUAAUUCGGAGGGGGUUAGCGUUGUUCGGUAUUACUGGGCGUAAAGCGCACGUAGGCGGAUCGGAAAGUUGGGGGUGAAAUCCCGGGGCUCAACCCCGGAACUGCCUCCAAAACUAUCGGUCUAGAGUUCGAGAGAGGUGAGUGGAAUUCCGAGUGUAGAGGUGAAAUUCGUAGAUAUUCGGAGGAACACCAGUGGCGAAGGCGGCUCACUGGCUCGAUACUGACGCUGAGGUGCGAAAGCGUGGGGAGCAAACAGGAUUAGAUA
rnacentral:rRNA from 1 species